UAGUACCUAUCAAUUAUACAUAGUAAAUUCUAUGGGAUAUCGUUUUGUUAUUUUUAAGGUUUUUGCCGAUUCGAAAACACGUAUAGUUUGUACGUGUACAAUUGUCUUGUUUAACAGGCGAUACGGCGUAAACGCGUUCGAGUACAACGGACGUAAAUGCCUUUGAAAUCGGCUUAGAACGACAAAACACCUGUAUUUUAACGUUUUGUAGACUGCGAAAUAUC